rnacentral:sRNA from 1 species
UCAAGUCUAGGUGGAGAUGUUUGAAUCGU